UACGUAGGGUGCAAGCGUUGUCCGGAAUUAUUGGGCGUAAAGAGCUCGUAGGCGGCUCGUCACGUCGGCUGUGAAAACCCGGGGCUCAACCCCGGGCCUGCAGUCGAUACGGGCGAGCUAGAGUUCGGCAGGGGAGACUGGAAUUCCUGGUGUAGCGGUGAAAUGCGCAGAUAUCAGGAGGAACACCGGUGGCGAAGGCGGGUCUCUGGGCCGAUACUGACGCUGAGGAGCGAAAGCGUGGGGAGCGAUCCGG
rnacentral:rRNA from 1 species